AGAUCAGUCACUCAAGGAUCUUGUUAAAAUCUGGAUUCUGAUGGAAGUCAUCUGGGGCCUGAGAUUCUGCAUUUCUAACAAGUUCUCAGGUGACCUUGAU
rnacentral:pre_miRNA from 1 species